UGCCAGCCGCCGCGGUAAUACAUAGGUCCCAAGCAUUAUCCGGAUUUACUGGGCGUAAAGAGUGCGCAGGCGAUUUAACAAGUUGGAAGUGAAAGACCAAGGCUCAACUUUGGUUUGCUUUCAAAACUGUUAGAUUAGACUAUGGGAGAGGUUAUCGGAAUUUCAGGUGUAGCGGUGGAAUGCGUAGAUAUCUGAAGGAACACCAAUAAGCGAAGGCAGAUAACUGGCCCAUUAGUGACGCUCAUGCACGAAAGCGUGGGGAGCAAACAGGAUUAGAUA
rnacentral:rRNA from 1 species